rnacentral:rRNA from 1 species
CCUACGGGGGGCAGCAGUGGGGAAUAUUGCACAAUGGGGGAAACUCUGAUGCAGCGACGCCGCGUGAGUGAAGAAGUAUUUCGGUAUGUAAAGCUCUAUCAGUAGGGAAGAAGUUGACGGUACCUGAGUAAGAAGCCCCGGCUAACUACGUGCCAGCAGCCGCGGUAAUACGUAGGGGGCAAGCGUUAUCCGGAUUUACUGGGUGUAAAGGGAGCGUAGACGGCAGUGCAAGUCUGAAGUGAAAGCCCCGGGCUUAACCCGGGAAUUGCUUUGGAAACUGUACGGCUGGAGUGCUGGAGAGGUAAGCGGAAUUCGUGGUGUAGCGGUGAAAUGCAUAGAUAUCACGCAGAACUCCGAUUGCGAAGGCAGCAUACCGGCGCGCAACUGACGCUCAUGCACGAAAGCGUGGGUAUCGAACAGGAUUAGAUACCCUAGUAGUC